rnacentral:rRNA from 1 species
AGUAACGGCGAGUGAAGCGGCAACAGCUCAAAUUUGAAUUCUGGCCUCUUUGGGGUCCGAGUUGUAAUUUGUAGAGGAUGUUUCGGGUACCGCCUCGGUUUAAAUUUCUUGGAACAGAAUGUCAAAGAGGGUGAGAAUCCCGUCUUGGACCGGCGGUAGGGCCCAUGUGAAACUCCUUCGACGAGUCGAGUUGUUUGGGA